rnacentral:lncRNA from 1 species
CUUGCCCCUAUCUGCUACAAAUCGCCAUGGUGGCCUCCCCAACAACUCGCCAUCGGAUCCAAGCAUGCUCGAUCUGGAGCGCCUCCCGUGAUCUCCCUCGUGCCCGAGCCCGCCUGGAUCCACAACCUCGUCAAUGGAGCCCCUCCAAUUGUGCCCCGUUCUAGCCGCUGUCGGCCAUGGAAGGAGCCGCACCGCCUCAUACCGAGAUGGGAUGCUCUCCAUCACCAUCAUGCAUUGCGUCGCGGUCGUCUGCACUUCAUUGCCCCCAUGGACAGCGUAGUCAUGAACGCCAUCAACACCAGCCUAGACGCCGCCGGCGUUGCCACCACUGAAGCAGCAAAAGGCCAUUGGAGAUACAAAAGAAAGCUAGACAGAGGAAGAAAUAGCUAACAUGUGGGUCCCACAUGUCAAUUACUCCCUCCAUUUCAAAAUAUAAGACCUUUUAGAGAUUACACUAGAAGACUAUAUAUGGAG